AGAGUUUGAUCAUGGCUCAGAACGAACGCUUGCGGCGUGCUUAACACAUGCAAGUCGAACGAGAAAGUCCUGCUUGCAGGGCGAGUACAGUGGCGAACGGGUGAGUAACACGUGGGUAAUCUGCCUUUGAGUCUGGGAUAACAUCUCGAAAGGGGUGCUAAUACCGGAUACGAUGGGAAUCUCAAAAGGGGUUCUCAUGAAAGGUGACCUCUUCAUGAAAGUUGCCGCUCAUUGAUGAGCCCGCGUCCCAUUAGCUUGUUGGUGGGGUAAUGGCCUACCAAGGCGAAGAUGGGUAGCUGGUCUGAGAGGAUGAUCAGCCACACUGGAACUGAGACACGGUCCAGACUCCUACGGGAGGCAGCAGUGGGGAAUAUUGCGCAAUGGGGGAAACCCUGACGCAGCAACGCCGCGUGAGUGAUGAAGGCCUUCGGGUCGUAAAGCUCUGUCAGGUGGGAAGAAGAAGCCGAGCCCGAAUACGGUUCGGUUUGACGGUACCGCCA
rnacentral:rRNA from 1 species